rnacentral:lncRNA from 1 species
GUGAAUUCAGGACAGCAGCCACCUCCCUUUGCCUGGGACCCGCGCGCUCUCCCCGCAGGGCACAGGCUCUUGGAGCAGCCGCCCAGCUCCCUGCAACAUGGCCUCAGCGCGGGAGCUGCAGCGGGACCCCUCCGCGGGUGUGCCCCACCCAGGGCCACCCUGCGCUCCUCCUCCCUGCCUGGUCUCCUUUCCGUCUUCAGGGUUAAACUGGAAUUGAGAGGAGAACAAGUUGUCUGGGAACCUGUCCACCGCCACCCCCAGAGUAAUGACCCCCAGAGUGGCCCUUCCUCCCAGAGUGCUGACCCCCAGAGUGGCCCUUCCGGUGGGCUAUCUUGGGGGUUCCUGGACUGGAUUAAGGAGGAGUCCAUUUCCCAAGGCUGCAGCAUCACAGCCGGACGCUGGAAACGUGAGGAACUGGGCCAAGAAAAGGCUCGAUGCAGAGUCAGCCUCAGGAAUGUCAGGUGGGCGAAAUCGCCAAGGGUGGUGCACAGGCCAUUCUGUUUCUGUCUCAGGGACACCAAUGCCUUGGGGCUCAGAAGAACCAGGCAGGUGGCAUUGGCAGAGCUGAAUGCCAUCAGCGGUUCACGGCCUUCCCAGGUCUACUUCCCCCAGGGAGCAAGCUCAGCCCCUUCCUCCUGCCCAGGACUCCCCAGGUGUCUCACCUCCUGGAAUCCACCCCGGGGCAGCCUCUAUCUGUGCCUGGGCCUGAGGUGCAGGCCCAGGGUGGCCCUCCAGGAGUGUGAGGAGAGGCGGGGUCUCCCCGACCUGCCCAGGUUCCUGGUGGGUGCCAUGAAGUUUGGAGGUGACACCUGGCUAUACCCCAGGCCUGUAGCAGGGAAACACUCCAUUCAGGGCAUCUGUGAAGGGCCUGCUGCUGUCCAGUGGGGAGGAAGGGUCGGCCACACUCCCGGCCUCUGUACAGGGCUUUUCUGGGACGCACCUAGGGGUGGCUUUCUGCAGGAGCGUCACUUGCAUGUUUUAUUUCACUGUGGGCCAAUAAAACGAUCAAGGAAAUGCUGUAGUCGUGCUACUGUGUGCUUGCCUUGA